GGGGCCGCACAAGCGGUGGAGCAUGUGGUUUAAUUCGAUGCAACGCGAAGAACCUUACCUGGGCUUGACAUCCCGGGAAUCCCGUUGGAAACAAGGGAGUGCCCUUCGGGAACCUGGAGACAGGUGCUGCAUGGCUGUCGUCAGCUCGUGUCGUGAGAUGUAGGGUUAAGUCCCGCAACGAGCGCAACCCUUGUCUUUAAUUGCCAUCAUUGAGUUGGGCACUUUAAAGAGACUGCCGGUGUUAAACCGGAGGAAGGUGGGGAUGACGUCAAGUCCUCAUGGCCUUUAUGUCUGGGGCUACACACACGCUACAAUGGCCAGUACAAUAGGUUGCAAGACCGCGAGGUGGAGCCAAUCCUAAAAGCUGGUCUCAGUUCGGAUUGCAGGCUGCAACUCGCCUGCAUGAAGUCGGAGUUGCUAGUAACCGCGCGUCAGCUAUAGUGCGGUGAAUACGUUCCCGGGCCUU
rnacentral:rRNA from 1 species